UAGUGUAACAGCUCUUUAAGAAUUUGUCUAGCAGGUCUUCUGGGUAAAAAAGUUCUAA
rnacentral:snRNA from 1 species